UACGAAGGGUGCAAGCGUUACUCGGAAUUACUGGGCGUAAAGCGUGCGUAGGUGGUUCGUUAAGUCUGUCGUGAAAUCCCCAGGCUCAACCUGGGAACUGCGUCUGAUACUGGAUGGCUUGAAUCCGGGAGAGGGAUGCAGAAUUCCAGGUGUAGCGGUGAAAUGCGCAGAUAUCAGGAGGAACACCGAUGGCGAAGGCAGGUCUCUGGGCCAUAACUGACGCUGAGAAGCGAAAGCAUGGGGAGCGAACAGG
rnacentral:rRNA from 1 species